ACAGCAGUAGCCGCGGGAAUACGGAGGGUGCAAGCGUUAAUCGGAAUUACUGGGCGUAAAGCGCACGCAGGCGGUCUGUCAAGUCAGAUGUGAAAUCCCCGGGCUUAACCUGGGAACUGCAUUUGAAACUGGCAGGCUAGAGUCUUGUAGAGGGGGUAGAAUUCCAGGUGUAGCGGUGAAAUGCGUAGAGAUCUGGAGGAAUACCGGUGGCGAAGGCGGCCCCCUGGACAAAGACUGACGCUCAGGUGCGAAAGCGUGGGGAGCAAACAGGAUUAGAUACCCCAGUAGUCCCUGUCUCUUAUACA
rnacentral:rRNA from 1 species